AUUGAACGCUGGCGACAGGCCUAACACAUGCAAGUCGAGCGGAUGAAGGGAGCUUGCUCCUGGAUUCAGCGGCGGACGGGUGAGUAAUGCCUAGGAAUCUGCCUGGUAGUGGGGGAUAACGUCCGGAAACGGGCGCUAAUACCGCAUACGUCCUGAGGGAGAAAGUGGGGGAUCUUCGGACCUCACGCUAUCAGAUGAGCCUAGGUCGGAUUAGCUAGUUGGUGGGGUAAAGGCCUACCAAGGCGACGAUCCGUAACUGGUCUGAGAGGAUGAUCAGUCACACUGGAACUGAGACACGGUCCAGACUCCUACGGGAGGCAGCAGUGGGGAAUAUUGGACAAUGGGCGAAAGCCUGAUCCAGCCAUGCCGCGUGUGUGAAGAAGGUCUUCGGAUUGUAAAGCACUUUAAGUUGGGAGGAAGAGCAGUAAGUUAAUACCUUGCUGUUUUGACGUUACCAACAGAAUAAGCACCGGCUAACUUCGUG
rnacentral:rRNA from 1 species